GCCACCCUAGCUCAGUCGGUAGAGCAGCUCCCUCGUAAAGAGCAGGUCAGGAGUUCGAUUCUCCUGGGUGGCUCCA
rnacentral:tRNA from 4 species